AAAAAAAGUAUUUUGGAUUUAAACAUUUUUAUUUCAGUUCAGUUGUACUGUUUAUAAAAGAGUCUGCUUUGAUACCAACAUAUAUUUGCAUGUCUGUGUGAAUGUGUGUCACCUCUAAUUCUUGGAUAAAUGUGUGAUAUGUGCAUUUUAAUUUGUGAGGUUGUUUUUAGUACCAAUGAAUGUGUGUCUGAGUAUGUGUCUGGUUGUUAGUAAGGCAACAUGCAGUCUCGUUUCAGAUGGCUUCAAAGGGCAAACACUGUUAUGGUUUAAAAGACCUGUUUUAGCCAGGAGCGCAGACACAGGGGAGGGGCCAGGGCACAUUGUUGAGUGACAGGAGGUGUGUCUUGUAUGACUGAGCAGUAAAAGCAUGACGAAUGGGUGGAGAGAUUUGUUUCCUCUGAGACCAGAUGUAUGGGAUGUCAAGCAGUGGAGGUAUUUCACCUGGCGACUACUUGCAUCCACUUCUGAGGUAGGCCUACAUACUGAAUCUGUUGGGCACUUUAUCUUUAAUCUGAUCACAUGCAAAAACACCUCAACAGAUCUUAUUUAUUGCCUUUCAUUGCAACUAGUGAAAUUAUAAAGGCCAUUGCAAACUCCUGAUGUAACCGUUCUCUCUUUGAUAACGCUAUAAUUGCAGACCCAGGUUUGAGUGGAAAGACAGCUGGAAACACCAGACAGUAUCUGUUUAUGAGAUACAUAGUUCCCUGUAUGUACUGCAGCCCCAUUGAAGGUGUGAGACUGGGUAACGUGAUCGGUCAUGCGAAUAUGGGGAGUAAAACAGACAAUAUGAUCCUGUUAACCCAUAACUCCACUUUCACUCCGACCCUGAACCCCGAUCUGUCAUAAUAAGGGGAUGUCAGGCAUUAAGACACAAGGGGUUAAAUAUACACAGGCUUCAAACACAUAUUAAUCAACAAACCUGACUAAAGCAUACACUGAUAUAAGUACAUCUACAGUAUAAGUACAGGUGUUACGUUAGCUGACAGCGUGAACACUACCAGUAAGUCUCACAUUGCCGAAACUCUUGGGGAGAAAAAAAUAUAUAUUGUUCUGAGAAGUCUUUCUCAACGUUGUGGUGUAUAUGCGUGUGUGUACUGUAUGUGUGGUAAGGUGAUCUUGAGUGGGCACAGGGGAUGGUGGGUGAGGAUGGU
rnacentral:lncRNA from 1 species